CUUGGGUAUUGGUACAUUGGAAUUAUUUCAGGCCUUUCAAAGUGUGCUGUGAUUUGAUAUUUAACCAAUUGUGAUAGUGAGUGUGGACCUUAUGAACAGAACUCAUUACAGAGGAAUAUACAGGGCUUGAUGUUGAAGAUAAAUAAAUUGAAACUAUCUGUUUCCUAGCAGCUAAGUGUCUCCUGGCUCAAGCUUCAUACUCAAUGGACAGAUAAGAGUCCUCUGCAGAAUCAUUUUUCUGACUAUUCCUUCAAUCUCAACGGUUCUCUAUGGUUUGAACAAAUUGGUGAGCCUUUAAUCUGCCUGUAAGAACACACUUUCAGGAAACAAGAAAAUGCCACCAGCCAAACGGAGACGUGGGGGGCUGAGACGGCGGCUGUUCCAGAUAGAGAUGCGAGAUGGAUUCAUAUAUAUUCAUGAAUUCAGUCAGAAAAGUCAAACGGAAGCAGUAUGAUAAUCUUGCAGUAAUUGCAUUUUUCCCUCCAACUGUUUUUGGCAGAGCAGAGAGCCACGUUCAGACACGCGGGAUGGGGAAUACAGUCUCGAGGAGCCGUGAACAGUGGAUACCCUCUGACCCCCGUACCUAAGAUUCAUUUGAUGUCCUGACCUCUGACUGAAGAACUUUUUAAUUUUCUGACUGUGCACUCUUUCUCUUCCGGGCCCCAGGAAAUGCCUUACAAAAAAAAAAAAAAAAAAGAAACAUUCAAAGGACCAUAUUUCAAACUAUCAAGCUUUUUUUUCUCUCCAUACAUGUCAGUCUGCUGUCAGCAGCCGUCUGAAAAGUGCUGACAUUGCUGCCCUCCUGUCCGGCAGCCCGCUCCCUCUGUGUGAACUUGGAUUUAGCUCAAGGGUAUAGCCACCCUGCUAAUGUGAUGUAGCUCCGAGAAGGAAACAAAUUGGCCUGACGUCUCAUACGCUGCCUUGUCUUGAUUGUGUGAUGGCUUCUACUGCUAAUGUGUUACGAUGGGUAGACCUGCGCAGGGAGGGAGACGGGUUUGUGUGUGUGUGUGUGUGUGUGUGUGUGUGUUACAUGGAGAGAGAAAGAGAGCGGGAG
ensembl:lncRNA